rnacentral:rRNA from 1 species
AUAUGUCUUCGGAUAUAGAGACCGGCGCACGGGUGCGUAACGCGUAUGCAAUCUACCUUUUACAGAGGGAUAGCCCAGAGAAAUUUGGAUUAAUACCUCAUAGUAUAGCUCUACCGCAUGGUAGUACUAUUAAAGUCACAACGGUAAAAGAUGAGCAUGCGUCCCAUUAGCUAGUUGGUAAGGUAACGGCUUACCAAGGCAACGAUGGGUAGGGGUCCUGAGAGGGAGAUCCCCCACACUGGUACUGAGACACGGACCAGACUCAUACGGGAGGCAGCAGUGAGGAAUAUUGGACAAUGGGCGCAAGCCUGAUCCAGCCAUGCCGCGUGCAGGAUGACGGUCCUAUGGAUUGUAAACUGCUUUUGUACGAGAAGAAACACUGCUUCGUGAAGCAGCUUGACGGUAUCGUAAGAAUAAGGAUCGGCUAACUCGCGUGCCAGCAGCCUCGGUAAUACGGAGGAUCCAAGCGUUAUCCGGAAUCAUUGGGUUUAAAGGGUCCGUAGGCGUUUUAGUAAGUCAGUGGUGAAAGCCCAUCGCUC